UUUCCUACGGGAGGCAGCAGUGAGGAAUUUUGCGCAAUGGGGGAAACCCUGACGCAGCAACGCCGCGUGAGUGAAGAAGGCCUUUGGGUCGUAAAGUUCUGUCAACUGGGAAGAAAUUAGUAUUGUUUAAUAGGUGAUUUCAUUGACGGUACCUGCAGAGGAAGCACCGGCUAACUCCGUGCCAGCAGCCGCGGUAAUACGGGGGGUGCAAGCGUUAUUCGGAAUUAUUGGGCGUAAAGGGCGCGUAGGCGGUUUUGUCGGUCAGAUGUGAAAGCCCAGGGCUCAACCCUGGAAGUGCAUUUGAAACAGCAAGACUUGAGUACUGGAGAGGAGAGCGGAAUUCCUGGUGUAGAGGUGAAAUUCGUAGAUAUCAGGAGGAACACCGAUGGCGAAGGCAGCUCUCUGGCCAGAUAUUGACGCUGAGGCGCGAAGGCGUGGGUAGCGAACAGGAUUAGAUACCCUGGUAGUCCACGCCGCGUUCUAUUUCACUAGGUGUAUCGGAUAUUAAAAUCUUCUGUGCCGCAGCUAACGCAU
rnacentral:rRNA from 1 species